UUCUUUCCGAAUACAUUUUAAAACAGUAAUGCACUUUUUUACUUAGCUUAAAUAAUAAUUAAUAGAGUAACAACUUCACAGCUCAUCAUAAAAUUUGCAUUGCUCACACCUUAUUAAAACAAGAUGCUUUUCUUGAUAAAUUUUCGAAAAUAAAUAUGUCUAUCCUAUCAGAAAGCAUUAAAACUUACCUCUAUAUAUAUCUUGGAACAUUACCCCUAUAAGGAUUCAAACAUUCUGAUAGUGGUUUUUUCUGAAUCAAAUAUUCCUGUUUACUUUUGUAAAAAGCUAUUUUAUUGAUGAUAUAAGAAGAAGCUAACCUUAAAAGCCAUAGAAGAAGCUAAUAAACAAGGCGGAUACGUAUCGUUUCAUCCGGCCUCCCGUAACCUCCAAGCGACCUUGUUUCCACCUUCUCCGCCCAAUCUCGGUAUCUUUGAAGAGGCCAAGCUACGUCUAUUAAAAUUAAUAAUAUUAUUUAGAAGAAGAAAUCGAACGUCGUUUAGGAUCUAGAUACGACUCGGUGUGAAAAAUUGAUGAAUUUUUUAUAUCCACAGUCCGGUCGGUCAGACCUCACCAUCGAGUGACAUGUGGCCAGGGGAAAAUGUUUUCUGUAUAAUAAAGUAUCGAACUAGGUCGACACAUGACCUCGAUUUUUGUACGAAACAAAAUAACGGUACACUCAUACCAUUCCCUGUAUGUGACCUCUGCAAGUUUCGUAUCCUUGUUCUUCAACAGUGUUGAGUUAAUGUUAGAUUUAUUAUCUGUCAUUUUCUUUAACAACCAUCGUUUUUAUUUGACUUCCCCGAAAACCAGAAGAAAGAAAAAAAUAAGUAACAAAAAAAAAAUACAUGAUAGAUCAAGAUAAAAAUGUCAGAAUCACAAGGUAGAUCGUCAUAGCAUGUCAAUUAGUAAAGAGCACGUUUUUCUGGCAUUCAUUACUCGAAGACUGUUAUCAAUUUUAAAAGAGUCGUCUACUUUCACGUUGUAAUCGCCUUGUUUAAAAUCAGCUUCGGGGGAACUUGCUCGAUCGUUAUGGUUUUAAAAGAGUUAAAACUCCGAAAAUUUAUGAUGAUGCACUUUAAAAAUUAUGGUAAUGCGCUUUAAAAGGUUCUAAAAACAGAUUAAGACCAG